ensembl:lncRNA
UUUUCCUGGAUAUUACUAUGGCAACACUGUGAUUUCAUUUUAUCAAAGUGAAAUUCUAGAAUUACCUGCAAUAGAACCAGUGAUCUUUAAGGCUAAUGAAAGAAAACAAAGAACAAUUGGAAGUGAGUGACAAGAAUGUAAAAGGACAUGAUAGUGAUAAUAAUCUGAAGACGCAACCCAACUGCAACACAUGGAAGGAUGAAAGGUUUUGGCAAGAAUAUGAAUUGAAAGGGAACAUACUGUAGAGCACAUGACCCGUUCUUCGUGACCAUCAUGAUCAUUCGUUUGGGACUGGUAUUGAUCAGUAGCAGCUCUAAAUAUAGAUCAUGAAAACAAAUGCUGUGAUGGGCUCAAGUGAAGCGCUACCUAGAUCAGCAGUCACAAAGGCACCGAGAUUUGAAGGCUUUCUCUCAACAUUCAAAGAGAAGACACUAUAGUAUCAGUUCAUUAAACACCAUUUUUCAUUGGUAUAACAAGCCUUUAAAAGAUACUUGAAGUAGG